rnacentral:rRNA from 1 species
AACGAACGCUGGCGGCAGGCUUAACACAUGCAAGUCGAACGGUUGUAGCAAUACAGCAGUGGCAGACGGGUGAGUAACACGUGGGAACCUUCCUAGGGGUACGGAACAACUCAGGGAAACUUGAGCUAAUACCGUAUACGUCCGUGAGGAGAAAGAUUUAUCGCCCUUAGACGGGCCCGCGUCGGAUUAGCUAGUUGGUGGGGUAACGGCCUACCAAGGCGACGAUCCGUAGCUGAUCUUAGAGGAUGAUCAGCCACACUGGGACUGAGACACGGCCCAGACUCCUACGGGAGGCAGCAGUGGGGAAUCUUGGACAAUGGGCGCAAGCCUGAUCCAGCCAUGCCGCGUGAGUGAAGAAGGUCUUCGGAUUGUAAAGCUCUUUUGCCAGGGACGAUAAUGACGGUACCUGGAGAAUAAGCCCCGGCAAACUUCGUGCCAGCCGCCGCUGUAA